AAUUUUCUCUUUAAUUUCCUUUUUAAUCAAUUUUAUUUAUUUAUUAAUUAAUUUUUGUAUAACUUGAUGUUUAAGCUUGGGUUUUUGACUUGGUUGAUCAAUGCUUCUAAAUUUCAAGUCAUCCAUAGAUGGAUUCUUAGGUUGAUUCAAUCUUCUCUAAUUCAAUAUGUUGAUAGAUGAUCAUUUGAUCAUAUUUUUGGCACUUUGAGUUAGUGAUAGAUCAUCCCUAAGUUAUGCCAUAUGUUUGGGUCUCUUGACUUAUUUGAUAUUAGAUCCUAAGUCAAAC
rnacentral:lncRNA from 1 species